rnacentral:lncRNA from 1 species
ACAGAACACAGAGUUGUUGUUGGCAGUUGGUGGAUUCUGGAGGAGUGAGAGCCUGCUUUUCCUCUAGCUGGCAGGAUAAACCAGGAAGGUAGCUGUCUGGUUUUCUGGGGUGGACCAAGAUAGCCAUUGGUUCCCUCUUUCUUUGGCUGUCCUAAUCUGCCUGUUUCUACUGUUGCUGUUACAGAGAAGUAGAUUUCUGCUGUUGCUGGUAACAUCUUACUGAGAUUUCUAUUUGGAUCAAAGAAAGGACUCCCAGGGGGAAGCUGGCACUCUGCUAAGAAACAACACCAGGAGGUGGAGAAUGGCUAUUGGUCUCUCACAAGUCUGCAAGAUUUCAAUGACAGCCUGAACCUGAUCUGCUGGCCCCAUACCUGCUUCAUGCCUGCCUAGCAAUGUCCAACUUAAAAAAAUAACAUCUUGGUCAAACUAUUUAUUUUGAAAUAGUCAAGGAAAGGAAAGCCUGGUGAUCGAUCAGCCAAGGAGAUACUAUGUUUUCUCAGGGAGCAAAAACAAACAAACAACUGCCAAAUUUCAGCCAACAGAGGAAGCUGCCUGGCUGAUGAGUGAAAAAGAUAGAGGAGUGUACUUGGCUGAUGCUGAUAUUGACAUACCCCUUUGUCGCCUGGAUCAUUUUGGACACAACAUCGGGGCAUGUGGGAAAUUUCACCAAACCCUGCAGUCAGUGAACAGGUUAACCUGUGGCACCUCUUCAGGAGUAAAUGACAGGAGGAUGAAUGACAGAAUCACCUAUCAGUAAUGGAAACACCAUAAUGGAGCUCUUCUAUUCUGCAAUGAAAACAUCAUAAAUGGACAAAUUGCAAAAGAAAUCCAACAUCCAAAGCACGACAAUGGACAUCCGGUUGGAUGCUACAGCUGUUGCUCAAAACUGAUCAAUGUUUAAUUUAAUGGAUGGUCAAGUGGCUAAUUUAAUGAGGUUGUAAAAAAAAGAUAGCCUCCGGGAAAAAAAAAGAAAGGAGAGGAGGAAAAAAGGAAGGAGAGAAUUAGGAAG